rnacentral:rRNA from 1 species
AAUAGAUACCCGGGUAGUCCACGCCGUAAACGUUGGAUACUAGGUGUGGCGGUCUUACCAACGACUGCCGUGCCGAAGCUAACGCAUUAAGUAUCCCGCCUGGGGAGUACGGCCGCAAGGCUAAAACUCAAAGGAAUUGACGGGUCCCCGCACAAGCGGCGGAGCAUGCGGCUUAAUUCGAUGCAACCCGAAGAACCUUACCUGGGUUUGACAUCACGGGAAAAGCUGUAGAAAUACAGUGUCCGUAAGGGCCCGUGACAGGUGGUGCAUGGCUGUCGUCAGCUCGUGUCGUGAGAUGUUGGGUUAAGUCCCGCAACGAGCGCAACCCUUGUCCUAUGUUGCCAGCGGUUCGGCCGGGGACUCAUAGGAGACUGCCGGGGAUAACUCGGAGGAAGGUGAGGACGACGUCAAGUCAUCAUGCCCCUUAUAUCCAGGGCUGCACGCAUGCUACAAUGGCCGGUACAACGGGCAGCGACCCCGCGAGGGUGAGCGAAUCCUAAAAAGCCGGUCCUAGUUCGGAUUGAAGUCUGCAACUCGACUUCAUGAAGCC